CGUCCGCAACCACCCCCAGCCUCUUCCCGCUGAUCCUCCCUGGACCUGUGUCGGGAGAGACCGUGGUCGUCGGCUGCCUGAUCCGGGGCUUCUUCCCCCUGGGCCCUCUGAAUGUGAGCUGGAACGUCAGCGAGGGGGACGUGAUCUUCCCUCCUGUCCCGUCUCCCCCCUCGAGCCUCUACACCACGAGCAGCCUGCUGAGCCUGACAAUUGAAGAGUGUCCUAAGUGUGUGAUCUGCCACGUGGAGCACAAUGAAGUGCACAGAGAUCUGAUCCUGCCCUGCCCAGACUGCUCCAUCCCCCCCAUUACCUGCGGGGAGCCCAGCCUGUCCCUGCAGCGGCCAGACAUCGGGGACCUGCUCCUGGAAUCGAAGGCCAGCCUCACCUGCACCCUGAGCGGCCUAAAGGACCCCGAGGGCGCCGUCUUCACCUGGGAGCCCACAAACGGGAACGAACCCGUCCAGCAGAGCGUCCAGAGUUACCCGUGCGGCUGCUACAGUGUGUCCAGCGUGCUGCCCGGCUGUGCGGAGCCCUGGAAUGCGGGGACAGAGUUCACCUGCACAGUCACCCACCCUGAGAUAGAGGGCGGCUCCCUGACAGCCACCAUCAGCAAAGACACAGGCAGCCUCACCCCACCUCAGGUCCACCUGCUGCCGCCGCCGACUGAGGAGCUGGCCCUGAACGCGCUGGUGACGCUGACCUGCCUGGUGCAGGGCUUCAGCCCCAAGGACGUGCUGGUGUACUGGACACACAACGGCACCCUGGUGGUCCCCAAAGACAGCUUCCUGGUGUGGGAUCCCCUGCCCAAGCCCGGCCAGGACCCCACCACCUACGCUGUCACCAGCCUGCUGCGCGUGUCGGCCGAGGACUGGAACCAGGGGGACAGCUACUCCUGCGUGGUGGGCCAUGAGGGCCUGGCCGAGCACUUCACCCAGAAGACCAUCGACCGCCAAGCGGGUUGUCAGGAGCCCCUGCCCUGUGUGGUGCUGGAUCUGCCACAGGACAGCCUGGAGGAGGAGGCCCCCGGCGCCAACCUGUGGCCCACCACCGUCACCCUCCUCACUCUCUUCCUGCUGAGCCUGUUCUACAGCACAGCUCUGACCGUACCAGCAUCCGGGGCCCACCUGGCAGCAAAGACGGACCCCAGUCCUAUUAUCUAAUUCCUAGUCUUGAUGACUGA